CCUACGGGGGGCAGCAGUGAGGAAUAUUGGUCAAUGGACGAGAGUCUGAACCAGCCAAGUAGCGUGAAGGAUGACUGCCCUAUGGGUUGUAAACUUCUUUUAUAUGGGAAUAAAACGUUCCACGUGUGGGAUUUUGUAUGUACCAUAUGAAUAAGGAUCGGCUAACUCCGUGCCAGCAGCCGCGGUAAUACGGAGGAGCCGAGCGUUGUCCGGAUUUAUUGGGUUUAAAGGGAGCGUAGGUGGAUGGUUAAGUCAGUUGUGAAAGUUUGCGGUUUAACCGUAAAAUUGCAGUUGAAACUGGCAGUCUUGAGUACAGUAGAGGUGGGCGGAAUGCGUGGUGUAGCGGUGAAAUGCUUAGAUAUCACGAAGAACUCCGAUUGCGAAGGCAGUUCACUGGACUGCAACUGACACUGAGGCUCGAAAGUGUGGGUAUCAAACAGGAUUAGAUACCCCUGUAGUC
rnacentral:rRNA from 1 species